UACGAAGGGGGCUAGCGUUGCUCGGAAUCACUGGGCGUAAAGCGCACGUAGGCGGAUUGUUAAGUCAGGGGUGAAAUCCUGGAGCUCAACUCCAGAACUGCCUUUGAUACUGGCGAUCUCGAGUCCGGGAGAGGUGAGUGGAACUGCGAGUGUAGAGGUGAAAUUCGUAGAUAUUCGCAAGAACACCAGUGGCGAAGGCGGGUCUCUGGACAGUUCCUGACACUGAGACACGAAGGCCAGGGGAGCAAACGGG
rnacentral:rRNA from 1 species